CACAGCCCAGAGGAGCUUAUUCCACUUCAGUCCCUCUCUUGCCUGGGGAAAGAAAUGACUGCAUCCCUUAAACCCCGGGCCAAAACCGCUCAGAGCACAUGAAGAUGUUGCAGCUGCUGGACCUGCAGCUGCUCCCGGGUUGGGGGAGCAAACAGAGGCCUGCCUGAUGCUGCACGACUACAAGGAAAAGCCUUUGGGCAACAGUUUUCACACAGCUGCGUUGUGUGUCGCCAUCAGCAACAAGAACACGGACCAGAUUCUAAAGGAGAACAGAUUUUGCCCUUGCGAUGAGUUAGCAAUGUGGUGGUACAGCAAUGGGCAGAAGCAAAACCAACACAGCGACCCUGGAUGACACCAACUCGGCAAGUGGAAAAAAGAGGUCCUGGUCCCUCAGGUCAACAGGCAGGACUGUGAUUCACAGAGAGCUAUGUCCAUUUUUAUACCCUCCGUUUCAAAGUCAAACCACACCUCAAAAUAGAAACUGCAACUCCAACUUAACCCGUCCGAAAUCCAGAUGAAGGAAGGUUCUCAGUGCCAUGUACUAACCACCAGUGGAUUCAAGUGCAGUGGGAAGAAGGAAACAGUAAUGUUGAUUCAAUGUUAACAUGUGCACUUGUCCAAGCCAAACAAAACAUGUACUUUUGAUUUCAUGUUAAACAGUGCUGAAGGGAUCAUUCAGCUUCUUGUUGUGUGGCUUUUUUUUUUUUUCUUAAUCAUUCUACAGUUGUCAAGAAUAUCUGAUUUAUUUAUUUAUCCUCUAAGCAAUGCUAAACUCAGUGCCAAGAACGAAAGCUCACUGAUUAAUCAUGGAGACAAAAUGCUUAGUAAUUUGUCUGGUGUCAUAGCCAGUUAGGCUGGAAAAAAUAAGAAAAUCAGCUGAAGAUGGAUAGCUACCAGCCAACAAAUGAGGGGGAGAGAACUGAUGUGAAAACAGACAGUACUUGCUUAUUAGAUAGACAUCAAGUUCACAUUUUCUAGCUUAUCCACGUGGGAAAUGGAUGACUGACUGCAACUGGAGCGUCUCCUAAAAUGGUCUGAUUUUCAUGGACUGCUGAGAAACUAUUCAUCCUACUGAUGUCCUGAAAUCAAACACAGAUUUCAGACUCCUGCCUUCUAGGUGUGCAUGUUUGGGAAUACAAGCCAACAGGUCAAUUUACAAGAAAAUCUCAGCAAACAUAUCCUCAGUAAAUGCCACAAUACUUCGAGCGUGAAAAAAAAUGUGGGCUGCAUGUUUAGCUGGUCAUUGACCAAGGUGAACACUUCAGCUACACAGAACUGGAUUCUCCCCUGCCUUUUUCCCCCAGCAAAAACACUGAAAGUGAAAAGAAUGUUUAAACUCAGUGCUGGGGAAAACCAUCCGAUGGCUCAAGUAUGGGAAAUCACCACCUCUUUUCUUGCAAAGAAGAGACAACUCCUACGACAACAUUUCCCAUGAGACUGCAUGCUCACCAUGAGGGCACCAAGGGUUUGGGGCAGGUGGCCCUGCAGGCUUGUCCCAAAGGAAACACCAGCUUCACCAAUGGGACGUGUGCUCCCACACCUCCUGCCACCACAGCUGCAGCUGCCUCCAUCCCCAUGUCGGACCCACCGCCGCCUCAGCUGCGAGCGCUGGAAACUCCACCGCUUGGCACCAGGGAACUUCACGUGAGCAAUCCUGACAGGGCCACUGGAUCACCUCCAGGGGAGCAGCACUUUAAGGGCUAAAAAUACACGAGCAUGAUGCAACGCCGAUGUGCAGAUUUGAGCUGGUUUGAGGUUUUGGUUUUUAAAAGUCAUCGCACUUUGCAGUGCUUGCAAUCAUUUGCAGCACUUUUUGUGGUUUCUUUUUUCAUGUAUGGAUUUUUUUCACAAUUAUGCUUCUUGUUUUAUACAGCGUGAUGCCAGAAAACUGGUAGAAAAUGUAGUUCCAUUUUCUAUAAGCAGAUAUACAUUGUUGUCACUAAUAAAAGUGACACUGUCAAUCUAUUUUAUUGCAGUUUAGUGAAGGGUUUUCAACCUGAAGCAAUCAAAAACUAGGCUGGGGACCUAUAAAGCAAAGCUCCUUGGCUUACAUUGCAAAUAGUUGUACAUCAACAGAUGAUAAAAAGAUACAUGGAGCAGUUUUUCCCCACAACUUGGUCAAUUUGCUUAAAAUUUGAGAAAAGCCUUAAAGUCCCAAAAUGCAAUCAGAUGUGCUAAGCCCUAUCAGCCAGGGAGUGAUCCUCCCACCUGCUUCCAGUGCAGAAUGACUCUGCAGUGCUACUUUUACUUCAUGCCAAUCACCUGAUUAAUGUGAAGGGAGUAAAGACCUCAUACAUGUAUACAGGCACAUCUGCAUUGAGGUAAGGUUGGGACAAAUGAGUAAAUACAUACUUCUGAGAGAGGUCAGGCAUCAUAAAUUAUCCAUGGCCACGUGCACUCUGUGGGGGUAUUUCCCCACCCCUUUUAGAAGGUUUAUGUUGGAU